rnacentral:tRNA from 1 species
CGCACCCCCGGCGCGGUGCGGUUCGCCUCCGAGGUGAAGGCGCUGUUCGCGGACCCGUCCGUGAACCGGUCGUUCGACCCGGCCGGGCUCGACCA